CGAGUGAAGCGGCAAUAGCUCAAAUUUGAAAGCUGGCCCCUUCGGGGUCCGCGUUGUAAUUUGUAGAGGAUGAUUCGGCGAGGGCUCCCGUCUAAGUCCCUUGGAACAGGGCGUCAUAGAGGGUGAGAAUCCCGUAUGUGAUGGGCUGCCUUAGCCAUGUGAAUCUCCUUCGACGAGUCGAGUUGUUUGGGAAUGCAGCUCUAAAUGGGAGGUAAAUUUCUUCUAAAGCUAAAUACCGGCCAGAGACCGAUAGCGCACAAGUAGAGUGAUCGAAAGAUGAAAAGCACUUUGGAAAGAGAGUUAAAAAGUACGUGAAAUUGUUGAAAGGGAAGCGCUUGCAGCCAGACUUGUCCGCAGUUGCUCAGCUUGUCUCCUGACAGGCGUACUCUUCUGCGGCCAGGCCAGCAUCAGUUCGGGCGGUCGGAUAAAGACCUGGGGAAUGUAGCUCCUCUCGGGGAGUGUUAUAGCCCUGGGUGCAAUGCGGCCAGCCUGGACUGAGGAUCUCGCUUCGGCUAGGAUGCUGGCGUAAUGGCUGUAAGCGGCCCGUCUUGAAACACGGACC
rnacentral:rRNA from 1 species